rnacentral:rRNA from 1 species
AUACGGAGGAUGCGAGCGUUAUCCGGAUUUAUUGGGUUUAAAGGGAGCGUAGGCGGGAGCUUAAGUCAGCGGUUAAAUGGUGCGGCUCAACCGUGCCCUGCCGUUGAAACUGGGUUUCUUGAGAGUGCAAGAGGCGGAUGGAAUUCAUGGGGUAGCGGGGAAAUGCUUAGAUAUCAUGAAGAACUCCGAUUGCGAAGGCAGUCCGCUGUGGCACGUCUGACGCUGAUGGUCGAAGGUGCGGGAAACAAACAGGAUUAGAUCCCCUGGUAGUCCGCACGGUAAACGAUGAUUACGCGCUGUCGGCGGUAGACAGUCGGCGGCCAAGCGAAAGCGAUAAGUAAUCCACCUGGGGAGUACGCCGGCAACGGUGAAACUCAAAGGAAUUGACGGGG